rnacentral:rRNA from 1 species
UCAGGAUGAACGCUAGCUACAGGCUUAACACAUGCAAGUCGAGGGGCAGCAUGAAUAUUGGCUUGCCAAUAUUUGAUGGCGACCGGCGCACGGGUGAGUAACACGUAUCCAACCUUCCGGUUACUCGGGGAUAGGCUUUCGAAAGAAAGAUUAAUACCCGAUGUUGUGUAUCUUUCUCCUGAAAGAUACGCCAAAGGAUUCCGGUAACCGAUGGGGAUGCGUUCCAUUAGGCAGUUGGCGGGGUAACGGCCCACCAAACCUUCGAUGGAUAGGGGUUCUGAGAGGAAGGUCCCCCACAUUGGAACUGAGACACGGUCCAAACUCCUACGGGAGGCAGCAGUGAGGAAUAUUGGUCAAUGGACGGAAGUCUGAACCAGCCAAGUAGCGUGAAGGAUGACUGCCCUCUGGGUUGUAAACUUCUUUUAUACGGGAAUAACAUGAGGUACGCGUACCUUAUUGCAUGUACCGUUAUGAAUAAGCAUCGGCUAACUCCGUGCCAGCAGCCGCGGUAAUACGGAGGAUGCGAGCGUUAUCCGGAUUUAUUGGGUUUAAAGGGAGCGUAGGUGGGAUAUUAAGUCAGCUGUGAAAGUUUGGGGCUCAACCUUAAAAUUGCAGUUGAUACUGGUUUCCUUGAGUACGGUACAGGUGGGCGGAAUUCGUGGUGUAGCGGUGAAAUGCUUAGAUAUCACGAAGAACUCCGAUCGCGAAGGCAGCUCACCGGGCCGGAACUGACACUGAUGCUCGAAAGUGCGGGUAUCAAACAGGAUUAGAUACCCUGGUAGUCCGCACAGUAAACGAUGAAUACUCGCUGUUUGCGAUACACAGUAAGCGGCCAAGCGAAAGCGUUAAGUAUUCCACCUGGGGAGUACGCCGGCAACGGUGAAACUCAAAGGAAUUGACGGGGGCCCGCACAAGCGGAGGAACAUGUGGUUUAAUUCGAUGAUACGCGAGGAACCUUACCCGGGCUUAAAUUGCGCUGGCUUUUACCGGAAACGGUAUUUUCUUCGGACCAGCGUGAAGGUGCUGCAUGGUUGUCGUCAGCUCGUGCCGUGAGGUGUCGGCUUAAGUGCCAUAACGAGCGCAACCCUUAUCUUUAGUUACUAACAGUUUUGCUGAGGACUCUAAAGAGACUGCCGUCGUAAGAUGCGAGGAAGGUGGGGAUGACGUCAAAUCAGCACGGCCCUUACGUCCGGGGCUACACACGUGUUACAAUGGGGAGCACAGCAGGUUGCUACACGGCGACGUGAUGCCAAUCCGUAAAACUCCUCUCAGUUCGGAUCGAAGUCUGCAACCCGACUUCGUGAAGCUGGAUUCGCUAGUAAUCGCGCAUCAGCCACGGCGCGGUGAAUACGUUCCCGGGCCUUGUACACACCGCCCGUCAAGCCAUGAAAGCCGGGGGUACCUGAAGUACGUAACCGCGAGGAUCGUCCUAGGGUAAACCUGGUGAUUGGGGCUAAG